GUGUGUGUAUAGUUUUAUUUUUUGUUGUGUGUUCAUAGCCUUAAGUUUUAUGUUAAAUGUUUCACGUCCUUAACUUUAUGUUACAUGUUAGUAUUUUAUGUAGGUUAUUACUGUCUUGUUCCUCUGUUCUUAUGUCUGUUAACGGCCCAUUGUGUUACUCGUAAAGUUCUUUUGUUUUUUGUAUUAUUAGUUUGUUGCGUUUUACAUUUUUAGCAUGUAGUGGAUUCAUGUGUGUAUUUUUACUUAGUAUGUGUGUAUUGCUUGCGUGUGAUGUUGUUUGGUGGUGGUUUAGUGAAAGUGGUUUACGUUUAUGGAUUAAAACCUAUCGUUUGUGGCAUUAAAUUCGUAUCCGUUUGAACCCUAACAAAUAGUGUCGACUUGUGUGUGUGCGACACUAAUAGUAAACCACUAUAUUUAGUCAGACAACGGAGACAUAGUUUGUGCAAGCAUGUCAUAUGAAGUUCUGACUCCCAAAAGGUCUCGAAAGUCAACCGAAAAGGGUAGACAGUAUGAGAUUGGCUUACUCCAGGAAAAGAGAAAAAGCCAGGAGAAGUCCAUUAGACUCCAGAUAAGUGAGUUAGAAGCAC